CCUACGGGAGGCUGCAGUGAGGAAUAUUGGUCAAUGGGCGCAAGCCUGAACCAGCCAAGUCGCGUGAGGGAUGACGGUCCUAUGGAUUGUAAACCUCUUUUGUCGGGGAGCAAGGCCCGCCACGUGUGGCGGGAAGGAGAGUACCCGAAGAAAAAGCAUCGGCUAACUCCGUGCCAGCAGCCGCGGUCAUACGGAGGAUGCGAGCGUUAUACGGAUUUAUUGGGUUUAAAGGGUGCGUAGGCGGAAGGUUAAUCCAGCGGUAAAAUGUCGGUGCUCAACACCGGCCUGCCGUUGAAACUGGUCUUCUUGAGUGAGCGAGAAGUAGGCGGAAUGCGUGGUGUAGCGGUGAAAUGCAUAGAUAUCACGCAGAACUCCGAUUGCGAAGGCAGCAUACCGGCGCUCAACUGACGCUGAGGCACGAAAGCGUGGGGAUCGAACAGGAUUAGAUACCCCAGUAGUC
rnacentral:rRNA from 1 species